GGUCGGUUAGCUCAGUCGGCAGAGCAUCGCAAUCACAUACCUCUUCACGAGGUUCGAUAGCUGCGAAGGUCAUAGGUUCAAGCCCUAUACUGACCA